CAGUGUUGUAAAUGAAAACGCAACAAAAACCUGUGAUGAUCGUAGGGUUCAAUGAUAGCGUCAAAGUUAUUACGCACUCGAAUGGACCUUAGAUCACAUUCUAAGCCUUCUGCCACGUCAGCUAUAGGCAUUGUUGGUGCCGGUGCCGCAGAUGUGAUCCCGGUUGUGGAAGAUUGCGGCUCAGGUAGUGUAACGGGCGAAGGAGCUUUGUCGUACGAAAUCGGUUAGUAGAUAGCCAUCUUGUACCAUCAAUAUUGUCUGUAUUGUCCACAAGGAGUUCAUGAAUAUGUUUUAAUUGCCCGGGUGGAGACUUCCCAAAGUCAUCCAUUGCAGUGUAAGUUACAAAAAUCCGCAAAAUUUACUA